rnacentral:rRNA from 1 species
CUACGGGGUGCUCCAGUGGGGAAUAUUGCACAAUGGGCGCAAGCCUGAUGCAGCCAUGCCGCGUGUAUGAAGAAGGCCUUCGGGUUGUAAAGUACUUUCAGCGGGGAGGAAGGGAGUAAAGUUAAUACCUUUGCUCAUUGACGUUACCCGCAGAAGAAGCACCGGCUAACUCCGUGCCAGCAGCCGCGGUAAUACGGAGGGUGCAAGCGUUAAUCGGAAUUACUGGGCGUAAAGCGCACGCAGGCGGUUUGUUAAGUCAGAUGUGAAAUCCCCGGGCUCAACCUGGGAACUGCAUCUGAUACUGGCAAGCUAGAGUCUCGUAGAGGGGGGUAGAAGUCCAGGUGUAGCGGUGAAAUGCGUAGAGAUCUGGAGGAAUACCGGUGGCGAAGGCGGCCCCCUGGACGAAGACUGACGCUCAGGUGCGAAAGCGUGGGGAGCAAACAGGAUUAGAUACCCGAGUAGUC